CCUGUUUCCCAGUCAGCACCUGUGUGCCUGUUUGUUGCUGCCUUCUGUCCUCCUGCUAGUCUCCCUAGUCCAGCAGAUCCCCCAGCUGCAGCUGCACACCAUGGCCCAGGCCCAAAAGUUUCCUCAGGAGGAUGGCGGACGGGUGACAGCCACAGGUCAUCCUUCAGCUCCUAUUCUCCUGAAACGGGGUCUGAAGAACUUCUGUGAACACUCAGCAGCAACAUGAAAGGUAAUCCUGCAGGAACGUUACGCUUGUUGUUGGCUGGAGGUUAUGAUUCAACUUUGUCACAGUCU
rnacentral:lncRNA from 1 species